rnacentral:rRNA from 1 species
UACGUAGGGUGCAAGCGUUUGUCCGGAAUUACUGGGCGUAAAGGGCUCGUAGGCGGCCAACUAAGUCAGACGUGAAAUCCCUCGGCUUAACCGGGGAACUGCGUCUGAUACUGGAUGGCUGGAGUUUGGGAGAGGGAUGCGGAAUUCCAGGUGUAGCGGUGAAAUGCGUAGAUAUCUGGAGGAACACCGGUGGCGAAGGCGGCAUCCUGGACCAACACUGACGCUGAUGAGCGAAAGCCAGGGGAGCAAACGGG